GACUCAUGAACUGAGAAACCUUCUGCAGACACAGAAAAAAUGAAAUCAAUACAGGACAUAAUUGUUAUCUGUCAAUUUAAGUAAAAUAUUGUUUUCCAACUUGACAAUGAAACACAAGUUAAUUUGCAAUGGAGAAUAAAUGGAUAAUUAAAAAAUUUGUAUUCAACAACUUAAAACAGAACAAACCACAUCUUCUCAAGUGCACACUAAAAAGAUUAAAAUUGCUGUUCCUAUGUCUGUACAGAUUUUAAAUCUAGUUGAGAAAACAAACACAAUCAAUGUUUUCAAACCCAGUUGACCAUUGAACUAGUAAGGGCAGAGGGUUAAGAGUUCAAAGUUUAAUUGAGAUCGAACCGGUAUAUUAUUAAAGAUAUACUAUAAAAU
rnacentral:misc_RNA from 1 species